UACAGAGGGUGCAAGCGUUGUUCGGAAUUAUUGGGCGUAAAGGGCGCGUAGGCGGGUUGCCAAGUCCGGGGUGAAAGCCUCCAGCUCAACUGGAGAAGUGCCUUGGAUACUGGUGAUCUCGAGGGAGGUAGGGGCAUGCGGAACUUCCGGUGGAGCGGUGAAAUGCGUAGAUAUCGGAAGGAACGCCGGUGGCGAAAGCGGCGUGCUGGACCUCUUCUGACGCUGAGGCGCGAAAGCUAGGGGAGCAAACGGG
rnacentral:rRNA from 1 species